rnacentral:tRNA from 1 species
GCCCCGGUAGCUCAGUUGGCAGAGCAGCGGACUCUUAAUCCGUGGGUCGCAGGUUCGAAUCCUGCCCGGGGCA